GUGAGGGAGCGGCGCAAGUUGGAAUCGAAGCCUCUUAAAAUGGCAGAUGAUUUGGACUUCGAGACAGGAGAUGCAGGGGCCUCAGCCACCUUCCCAAUGCAGUGCUCAGCAUUACAUAAGAAUGGUUUUGUGGUGCUCAAAGGCCGGCCAUGUAAGAUUGUCGAGAUGUCUACUUUGAAGACUGGCAAGCAUGGCCAUGCCAAGGUCCAUCUGGUUGGCAUUGACAUUUUUACUGGGAAGAAAUAUGAAGAUAUCUGCCCGUCGACUCAUGGAUGUCCCCAACAUCAAAAGGAAUGACUUCCAGCUGAUUGGCAUCCAGAACGGGUACCUAUCCCCGCUCCAGAACAGCGAGAAGGUACGAGAGGACCUUCGUCUGCCUGAAGGAGACCUUGGCAAGGAGAUUGAGCAGAAGUAUGACUGUGGAGAAGAGAUCCUGAUCACAGUGCUGUCUGCCAUGACAGAGGAGGCCAUGGCAAAAUAACCGGCUUCCAGGGUGGCGGUGGUGGCAGCAGUGAUCUAUGAGCCUACAGAGGCCCCUCCCCGAGCCAGGUUCUGCUCUGGCUGGGCCCUUGGCUAGACUCCUAUUCAAAUUUAUUUGACGUUUUAUUUUGGUUUUCCUCAC